UUUGUAUCAGAAGUGAAAUUGAGCCACUUGUAAGGUGAGAUAGCUACAGGGCCUAUCAAAGUGAGAGACAAGCCACAUUACUGAAAGUGGUAAAAUUGGAAAAGCAAAGCCACUCAGUUUUGAAUGUUUGUUAAUGAGGAUGGUUUGUUAAUGAGUGCCAGGAGAGCUACUUCAAAAAAAUGUAUUUCAGCACAUUUUUGCAGAAGCCAGUCUUAGGUACUAGACAAAUCACUAUUACAAGUGGUAUACAGUGAAUUUUAAAAUGCAGAAGAAAGGAGAAAGUAAAAAUACAUCCUAAAGGAAAGAAGCCAUCAAUUUUAACAUUUGGUAUCUACAUAACUUUCAUAAGGUUGGUCAUUGAAUAUUGUUUUACUCCUUUUCUGGAGUUAAAAAAAAUAUGUGUAUACGUUAUGGUUUGUAUCCAUUUUAGAAUUUUAAAUGUUUAGCCACCAGUCACACAAUAGAAAUAACUGGAGUUACUUCUACGAAAGCAGAAUGAACGAAUCAGCUGAAAAGUUAUUUGAACAUUUGAUCCAAUAAAGAAAAAUAGUCUGAGUGAUUCAAACACAAUUAUUAAAAAAAAUUUCUUUUUUUUUUUUGCAAUUCAUAGACAAAGUGAAGUGAAUUCAGUGUCACAACUUUAAGUCCAGAAGUUGUGUUUAGGAAGCUAGAAUUUCUUGUUUAUUGUAAUUGUCUAAAGGCAACAAAUAAUAAUCUCUUUUGUUAUUAAGUGAAUGAUUAACACUUUCACUUUCACCCAUAUUUUUAAUGAUUUAUCCAAGCAUGAUGGUGAAUAAGACAUUGCAUUCAGAACUUUUACAAAACAUCAAAUAUGACCUAAAUGAAAAGAGAAUUAUUGUUACUUAUCUAUUUGCUCAGCAUCUGCUCUAUGUCCACUGUUCUGUGGAGUGCUUGAAAAGAAGCACAUUUUGGGGACCAGUAAGUGUGGGAGUCCCAAAGUUCUUGUACAUGGGUUGAGAGAAGAACCAGGAAGAGGCCACAUAUUUUUUUAAAAAACUACAAAGGUGGGAACUUCUGACAUGUAAAGGUAAUUAACUGACGAACUGCAGCUCCUAGCAAGUAUGAUACUUCACAUGAGCCUCUUUCCAGCACUCUGUGUGAAUAGUUAUUUUCACCCACUUCAUCACUAUAAAUUUUUGUUUCAACCCCUUUAAGCAGUCUUCCGUAAAAACACAUUAUCCAUGUUACAGUAGCAUGAAAUAGAGAAGUAGUGUCUCUACUGAUAUUAUAUUUUACAAUUUUGUUGGCUAACAGUUGUCUAAUGACCAUAUUUAAAUCCAGUGAAAAAGAAUAAAUACGAAUAGUGAAAUUUUCUCCCAUUCCAUUCAUUUUGUAAGAGUAGAAAGAUCAACUGGGAAGAGCCUUCACCUUGUCCCAAAUGUUAAGAACUGGAAAGCUUAAAUAGUUUAAGCUAAUAAAUAAUAUUCUGUUUUUAUUUAACUUACUUCUUUCCUACUCUCAAACCAGAUAUACAUAAAAACUAGAUUAGUGUAAAAUAUACCUGUAAAUGCUUAAAUAUUAGCAAGAUGAUUCUUUUAAAAGAACAAAAAAAGUUGAGUAUCCAAAGGAAUGAAACAGCAAUUAUAAUGUCUUUAUUUAGGCUCAUUUACACACAAACUCCCCAAUUUCCAAGGAAGAAACCAAGUUGUGAGAUGUGGUAGACAAUGCAUUGUGCUCAUCACUUGCUCUGUCUUGACAUCAUGGGAAGCAUUCACAGCUUUGCAAACUUUUGUUUUUCCCUGGUGGACCUAAUUUUCAAAGACCCUUUCUUGAGGAAAAUAAAACAGCAACAUCUCAAACACCACUGUAUCACUCUUUGGAGGUGAUAUCUGUGGACAAAGCGUAGGAAUAAAACACAGAUUUUAUUUUCAUACUUUUUCAAAGAGUGUAACAUGUUUCUUGUGUCAUUUUCUUGUUUCUUUUCAUACAUAAUUUUCAAAAUAGCAAGCUCACAGCUGAACUGAAAUGUCAGGAACAAACUUCCAAACAGUGUUAAAAGCCAACUUCAUUGUUAAUCUUAUAAGUAAUUAAUGAAUUUGAUGUGAAUAUCAAAUGAAUGUAAGCUUGAAAUGAGUGAAUCUUAUGUAAUGGCUGUUAGCUUUUUUAAAAAAAUAAUGAGCUAGCAUUGUAUUUUAAACAUAAAUGUGGCUUUUUCUUUUUAGCCUUUAAGAAAAUGUACUCUAGUAUAAUGUAUAAUUUAUUGUAAGUUUGCUACAAACCAGAUAGAUACAUAUAAUAGUUCUAAAUGUAUAUUUUUGUUUGUCAAAGUAUUAUAUAAACUGUGCUUAAAAUAAGUAGAUUUGCAACUGUUGUAAAUGUUUUAGGUGUAAUGGCAUUAUAUUAAAUUGUUCUGGUGCAAUUCAGGCUAUUACCGCCUAGGUUUGGCUUUUGGGGGCCCUUUUUAAAAGGAAUAUAGAGGGUGCUUCCUUGCAGCAACGUGGAUGGACCUGGAGAUUAUUGUACUGUGUAAAGAAAGUCAGAGAAAGAGAAAGAUAAAAAUGAACUUAUUUACAAAACAGAACAGACUCAUUGACAUAGAGAACCUACGCAUGGUUACCAGAGUGGAAGAAUGGGGGGAUAGGAUAAUUAGGACAUUUGGGAUUGACUUGUGCAUAUUGCUCUAUUUAAUAUGGACCUACUGUAUAGCCCAGGGUUCUCUGCUCAAUGUUAUGUGGCAGCCUGGAGGGAGAAAGGUUUGAGGGAGAAUGGAUAUAUGUAUAUGUAUGGCUGAGUCCCUUUGCUGUUCAUCUGAAACUAUCAAUUGGCAAUACUCC
ensembl:lncRNA